rnacentral:misc_RNA from 1 species
AAGUAUAGCUAAAAAAUAUGGAAAUUAUUGGGACUCUCACUUACAAAUUUAAGCUUUUCGGUUAAAUGGUUUCUUGACAUUGUAUCAGAGUUUCCCAUACCAAAAGGUACAGAGUUCAAAUCUUGACCACCCCAUUACUAAUUAAAUAAUUCAGCAUAAGGUAAAAUGGCCUAUGCUUGUUCAUACUUCAAGACCAAUGGGCAUUCGCGUGCAGGGGUGUAUUAGAGAUAUAAAACUAUUCUUAGAAAUUUCACUUAUAAAAUUAAACUUUUAGGUUGAGUAGUUUCUUGACAUGGUAUCAGAACUUCUCAGAAUAAAGGUCCAGAGUUUGAAUCUUGGUCACUCCCAUUAAUUAAUUAAAUAUUUCAGUGCAAAGUAAAUAGGCUUAUGCCUGUUCACAUUUCAAGCCCAAUGGG